GACGUAGGAGGCGAGCGUUGUCCGGAUUCAUUGGGCGUAAAGAGCGCGCAGGCGGCUUGGUAAGUCGGAUGUGAAAACCCGAGGCUCAACCUCGGGCGUGCAUCCGAAACUGCUCGGCUAGAGGUAGGUAGGGGAGAUCGGAAUUCCUGGUGUAGCGGUGAAAUGCGCAGAUAUCAGGAGGAACACCGGUGGCGAAGGCGGAUCUCUGGGCCGUAACUGACGCUGAGGAGCGAAAGCGUGGGUAGCAAACAGG
rnacentral:rRNA from 1 species